rnacentral:rRNA from 1 species
UUAAGCGACUAAGCGUACACGGUGGAUGCCCUGGCAGUCAGAGGCGAUGAAGGACGUGCUAAUCUGCGAAAAGCGCCGGCGAGGUGAUAUGAACCUUUGACCCGGCGAUGUCCGAAUGGGGAAACCCAGUGCAAUUCGUUGCACUAUCGUUAACUGAAUACAUAGGUUAACGAGGCGAACCGGGGGAACUGAAACAUCUAAGUACCCCGAGGAAAAGAAAUCAACCGAGAUUCCCCCAGUAGCGGCGAGCGAACGGGGAGCAGCCCGGAGUCUGAAUCAGCUUGUGUGUUAGUGGAACGGUCUGGAAAGUCCGACGGUACAGGGUGAUAGUCCCGUACACGAAAAUGCACAGGUUGUGAACUCGAAGAGUAGGGCGGGACACGUGGUAUCCUGUCUGAAUAUGGGGGGACCAUCCUCCAAGGCUAAAUACUCCUGACUGACCGAUAGUGAACCAGUACCGUGAGGGAAAGGCGAAAAGAACCCCGGCGAGGGGAGUGAAAAAGAACCUGAAACCGUGUACGUACAAGCAGUGGGAGCCUACUUGUUAGGUGACUGCGUACCUUUUGUAUAAUGGGUCAGCGACUUAUAUUCUGUAGCAAGGUUAACCGUAUAGGGGAGCCGAAGGGAAACCGAGUCUUAACUGGGCGUUAAGUUGCAGGGUAUAGACCCGAAACCCGGUGAUCUAGCCAUGGGCAGGUUGAAGGUUGGGUAACACUAACUGGAGGACCGAACCGACUAAUGUUGAAAAAUUAGCGGAUGACCUGUGGCUGGGGGUGAAAGGCCAAUCAAACCGGGAGAUAGCUGGUUCUCCCCGAAAGCUAUUUAGGUAGCGCCUCGUGAACUCAUCUUCGGGGGUAGAGCACUGUUUCGGCUAGGGGGCCAUCCCGGCUUACCAACCCGAUGCAAACUACGAAUACCGAAGAAUGUUAUCACGGGAGACACACGGCGGGUGCUAACGUCCGUCGUGAAGAGGGAAACAACCCAGACCGCCAGCUAAGGUCCCAAAGUCAUGGUUAAGUGGGAAACGAUGUGGGAAGGCACAGACAGCCAGGAUGUUGGCUUAGAAGCAGCCAUCAUUUAAAGAAAGCGUAAUAGCUCACUGGUCGAGUCGGCCUGCGCGGAAGAUGUAACGGGGCUAAACCAUGCACCGAAGCUGCGGCAGCGACGCUUAUGCGUUGUUGGGUAGGGGAGCGUUCUGUAAGCCGUUGAAGGUGGCCUGUGAGGGUUGCUGGAGGUAUCAGAAGUGCGAAUGCUGACAUAAGUAACGAUAAAGCGGGUGAAAAGCCCGCUCGCCGGAAGACCAAGGGUUCCUGUCCAACGUUAAUCGGGGCAGGGUGAGUCGACCCCUAAGGCGAGGCCGAAAGGCGUAGUCGAUGGGAAACAGGUUAAUAUUCCUGUACUUGGUGUUACUGCGAAGGGGGGACGGAGAAGGCUAUGUUAGCCGGGCGACGGUUGUCCCGGUUUAAGCAUGUAGGCGGAGGUUCCAGGUAAAUCCGGUACCUUUUUAACGCUGAGGUGUGAUGACGAGGCACUACGGUGCUGAAGUAACAAAUGCCCUGCUUCCAGGAAAAGCCUCUAAGCAUCAGGUAACACGAAAUCGUACCCCAAACCGACACAGGUGGUCAGGUAGAGAAUACCAAGGCGCUUGAGAGAACUCGGGUGAAGGAACUAGGCAAAAUGGUGCCGUAACUUCGGGAGAAGGCACGCUGAUAUGUAGGUGAAGCCCCUGCGGGUGGAGCUGAAAUCAGUCGAAGAUACCAGCUGGCUGCAACUGUUUAUUAAAAACACAGCACUGUGCAAACACGAAAGUGGACGUAUACGGUGUGACGCCUGCCCGGUGCCGGAAGGUUAAUUGAUGGGGUUAGCGGUAACGCGAAGCUCUUGAUCGAAGCCCCGGUAAACGGCGGCCGUAACUAUAACGGUCCUAAGGUAGCGAAAUUCCUUGUCGGGUAAGUUCCGACCUGCACGAAUGGCGUAAUGAUGGCCAGGCUGUCUCCACCCGAGACUCAGUGAAAUUGAACUCGCUGUGAAGAUGCAGUGUACCCGCGGCAAGACGGAAAGACCCCGUGAACCUUUACUAUAGCUUGACACUGAACACUGGUCCUUGAUGUGUAGGAUAGGUGGGAGGCUUUGAAGCGUGGACGCCAGUCUGCGUGGAGCCGACCUUGAAAUACCACCCUUUAAUGGCUGGUGUUCUAACGUAGACCCGUAAUCCGGGUUGCGGACAGUGUCUGGUGGGUAGUUUGACUGGGGCGGUCUCCUCCCAAAGAGUAACGGAGGAGCACGAAGGUUAGCUAAUCCUGGUCGGACAUCAGGAGGUUAGUGCAAUGGCAUAAGCUAGCUUGACUGCGAGAGUGACGGCUCGAGCAGGUGCGAAAGCAGGUCAUAGUGAUCCGGUGGUUCUGAAUGGAAGGGCCAUCGCUCAACGGAUAAAAGGUACUCCGGGGAUAACAGGCUGAUACCGCCCAAGAGUUCAUAUCGACGGCGGUGUUUGGCACCUCGAUGUCGGCUCAUCACAUCCUGGGGCUGAAGUAGGUCCCAAGGGUAUGGCUGUUCGCCAUUUAAAGUGGUACGCGAGCUGGGUUUAGAACGUCGUGAGACAGUUCGGUCCCUAUCUGCCGUGGGCGCUGGAGAAUUGAGGGGGGCUGCUCCUAGUACGAGAGGACCGGAGUGGACGCAUCACUGGUGUUCGGGUUGUCAUGCCAAUGGCACUGCCCGGUAGCUAAAUGCGGAAGAGAUAAGUGCUGAAAGCAUCUAAGCACGAAACUUGCCCCGAGAUGAGUUCUCCCUGAGACUAUAAGUCUCCUGAAGGAACGUUGAAGACGACGACGUUGAUAGGUCGGGUGUGUAAGCGCAGCGAUGCGUUGAGCUAACCGAUACUAAUGAACCGUGAGGCUUAACCUU